AUUGAACGCUGGCGGCAUGCUUUACACAUGCAAGUCGAACGGUAGAGGGGGCAACCCCUUGAGAGUGGCGAACGGGUGAGUAAUGCAUCGGAACGUACCGUGUAAUGGGGGAUAACGUAGCGAAAGUUACGCUAAUACCGCAUACGCCCUGAGGGGGAAAGCGGGGGACCCUAAAUAGAGCGCACUGGGGAGUGCGUUGUAUUUAGGGCCUCGCGCAAUAGGAGCGGCCGAUGUCGGAUUAGCUAGUUGGUGAGGUAAAGGCUUACCAAGGCUACGAUCUGUAACCGGUCUUAGAGGACGGUCGGUCACACUGACACUGAAUAACGGGUCAGACUCCUACGGGAGGCAGCAGUCGGGAAUUUUGGGCAAUGGGCGAAAGCCUGACCCAGCAACGCCGCGUGAAGGAUGAAGUAUUUCGGUAUGUAAACUUCGAAAGAAUAGGAAGAAUAAAUGACGGUACUAUUUAUAAGGUCCGGCUAACUACGUGCCAGCAGCCGCGGUAAGUGCGA
rnacentral:rRNA from 1 species